GUGGGGAAUCUUGCGCAAUGGGCGAAAGCCUGACGCAGCGACGCCGCGUGAGGGAAGAAGGCCUUCGGGUUGUAAACCUCUUUCAGGAGGGACGAAGCCACUCGGGUUAAUAGCCCAGAGGGUGACGGUACCUCCAGAAGAAGCCCCGGCUAACUACGUGCCAGCAGCCGCGGUAAUACGUAGGGGGCAAGCGUUGUCCGGAUUUAUUGGGCGUAAAGAGCGUGUAGGCGGCUUCACAAGUCCGCUGUGAAAACUCGAGGCUCAACCUCGAGCUGUCGGUGGAAACUGUGUGGCUAGAGUCCGGAAGAGGAGAGUGGAAUUCCCGGUGUAGCGGUGAAAUGCGCAGAUAUCGGGAAGAACACCCGUGGCGAAGGCGGCUCUCUGGGACGGUACUGACGCUGAGACGCGAAAGCGUGGGGAGCGAACAGGAUUAGAAACCCCGGUAGUCC
rnacentral:rRNA from 1 species